GAGCAUGGAUUAAUGAUCACCUUCACGAGGGGAUCAUAAGUUGAGGCUUGAUAAGCGACAUGGAAGCUUGGGAAAGAAGCGGGUCAAAUGGAACUUAUGUGCACGGGAAGCGUACUCGGAUGCAAGGUUGAUCGGGUCACGGAGGAUUAACAAGGGACAGAGAUCAUGGACCGAGUCACAUGAAGGAUUGUACGGGGUGUCUAAGAAUGUAAUUUGUUAUACAUAAGUUAUGUUUUAUUCUAUAAUUGAGUUAGUUUGAUGUAUUCAAUAUA